GACGAACGCUGGCGGCGUGCUUAACACAUGCAAGUCGAACGGAAAGGCCCUGCUUUUGUGGGGUGCUCGAGUGGCGAACGGGUGAGUAACACGUGAGUAACCUGCCCUUGACUUUGGGAUAACUUCAGGAAACUGGGGCUAAUACCGGAUAGGAGCUCCUGCUGCAUGGUGGGGGUUGGAAAGUUUCGGCGGUUGGGGAUGGACUCGCGGCUUAUCAGCUUGUUGGUGGGGUAGUGGCUUACCAAGGCUUUGACGGGUAGCCGGCCUGAGAGGGUGACCGGCCACAUUGGGACUGAGAUACGGCCCAGACUCGUACGGGAGGCAGCAGUGGGGAAUAUUGCACAAUGGGCGGAAGCCGGAUGCAGCAACGCCGCGUGCGGGAUGACGGCCUUCGGGUUGUAAACCGCUUUCGCCUGUGACGAAGCGUGAGUGACGGUAAUGGGUAAAGAAGCACCGGCUAACUACGUG
rnacentral:rRNA from 1 species